ensembl:lncRNA HRAT17 heart tissue-associated transcript 17
GACAUAAACUGGCAUGUUCUGAAAGAAUCACUCUGGAUGCUGUGUGGAGAAAACACUGAAAAGAAUUCUAGAGUGAAAGUUUCAUGAAUAUAAGAAGCAAGACAAGGAAGUGGCUUAUGCUUAAGGCCUUAAAGGCAACCACUGUGACAAUCCAGCCAUUCUCUGGAGAAUUCAGCAGAAAGCCAGUUGGAAGAAUUUGUUAUCUCGAUUAUGGAGGGCGACAAGUCCCACAGUCUGCCAUCUGCAGGAUGGAGAACCAGUCUUUAUAGGGGGAGAAUAAUUGACUCCAUUCAAGUGUUCGCUCCUGUUUCAAUCAACUAUGGCUGAAGAGUGAGGAGACAUUUGGAAUAAAUAUGGCUUCUGGGGGCCCAUUCCUAUGGAUCAGCAGCUGGCUUCUGGAGGCCCAUUCCUGUGAAUCGUCGAUCUCAUAGAAGAUAAUAUUGUUAGAAGGCUUACCUCAUUGAUGCUGAACAUCCUAAAAAGCUUCUGCUGCUUUGAGUCACUGAAAAAGACCAAGAAACAUGAAUUUAAAAAAAAAUUUCAAAUGUUAUAAAAUAAAUAAUAUGAACUCAUUAUA